rnacentral:rRNA from 1 species
CAAGUCGAGCGAGGAAAGUUUGUAGCAAUACGAGCUUAUUCGAGCGGCGUAAGGGGCAGUAAUACCUGGGAACGUACCCUCGGGUCGGGGAUAGCUGCUGGAAACGGCGAGUAAUACCCGAUGACACCGGAAGGUCAAAGGCUUGCCGCCCAAGGAGCGGCCCAGGCGAUAUUAGCUAGUUGGUGAGGUAAUGGCUUACCAAGGCAUAGAUGUCUAGCGGGUGUGAGAGCACGACCCGCGCCACUGGCACUGAGACACUGGCCAGACACCUACGGGUGGCUGCAAUCGAGAAUCUUCGGCAAUGAGCGCAAGCUUGACCGAGCGACGCCGCGUGCGGGAUGAAGGCCUUCGGGUUGUAAACCGCUUUGGUCCGAGAGAAAGGGUAAAACUUGAUCGAUCGGAGAAACAAGGACGGGCUAAGUUCGUGCCAGCAGCCGCGGUAAGACGAACCGUCCAAACGUUAUUCGGAAUCACUGGGCUUAAAGGGCGCGUAGGCGGCCGAGCGGGUCGCGGGUGAAAUCCCCCAGCUUAACUGGGGAACUGCCCUCGAUACCACUGCGGCUCGAGGAAGGAAGGGGCAAUCGGAACUGUCGGUGGAGCGGUGAAAUGCGUUGAUAUCGACAGGAACGCCGGUGGCGAAAGCGGAUUGCUGGUCCUUUUCUGACGCUGAUGCGCGAAAGCCAGGGGAGCAAACGGGAUUAGAUACCCCGGUAGUCCUGGCCUUAAACGAUGAGAACUAGGUAGUGGGUCCGACCUGGGCACACUGCCGAAGCGAAAGUCUUAAGUUCUCCGCCUGGGGAGUAUGGUCGCAAGGCUGAAACUCAAAGGAAUUGACGGGGGCUCACACAA